UAAUUUUCUCCCUUUGCUAUUGUAGAUUUGUCUAAGAAUCGACUUUCGGAGAUUCCUUGUGAAAUCUGCCAGUAUAUCUCGCUGGAAACACUGAAUCUGUAUCACAACAGCGUGCGCAAUAUUCCCAGAGCCAUCACCAAUCUCCAGGCUCUAACUUACCUCAACGUCAGUCGCAGCCACCUGUGUGUGUUACCUCCGUACCUGUGCUGCCUACCACUGAAGGUGCUCAUUGCCAGUAACAACAAGCUGACCACCCUGCCCGAGGAUAUUGGCUGUCUCAGCCAGCUCCGUGAACUGGAUGUGAGCUGUAACGAUAUCCAUGCGCUGCCCUCCCAGAUCGGCAACCUGGAGUCACUGAGGGACCUCAAUGUCCGCCGCAAUCAGUUGGCCACCCUCCCAGAAGGUGAGGCACUCAGCAGACAGUCCCA